rnacentral:rRNA from 1 species
UUAAAAACCCCGUUAUUUGACGGUACAUGAAUAAGAAGCACCGGCUAACUCCUGUGCCAGCAGCCGCGGUAAUACGGAGGGUGCAAUCGUUAAUCGGAAUCACUGGGCGUAAAGCGCGCGUAGGCGGUCUGGUCAGUCAGAUGUGAAAGCCCCGGCCUCACCCUGGGAACUGCAUUUGAAACUGCUGGAAUAGAGUGUGGUAGAGGGAAGSGGAAUUCCGAGUGAAGCGGUGAAAUGCGUAGAGAUUCGGAGGAACAUCAGUGGAGAAGGCGACUUCGUGGCCCSACACUGACGCUGAGGUGMGAAAGCGUGGGGAGCAAACAGGAUUAGAUCCCCUGGUAGUCCCCGCCGUAAACGAUGUCUGCUAGCCGUCGGGGAGCUUGUCUCC